CCCUUAGAUGUUCUGGGCCGCACGCGUGCUACACUGAUGCAUUCAACGAGUGUACCUUGGCCGAGAGGCCUGGGCAAUCUUUUGAACGUGCAUCGUGAUAGGGAUAGAUUAUUGCAAUUAUUAAUCUUGAACGAGGAAUUCCUAGUAAACGCAGAUCAUCAAUCUGCAUUGAUUACGUCCCUGCCCUUUGUACACACCGCCCGUCGCACCUACCGAUUGGAUGGUCCGGUGAAGCCUCGGGAUUGUGGCGGUUGCCUUUAUUGGUGGCCGCCGCGAGAACUUGUCUAAACCUUAUCAUCUAGAGGAAGGUGAAGUCGUAACA
rnacentral:rRNA from 1 species